rnacentral:rRNA from 1 species
UACGUAGGGGGCAAGCGUUGUCCGGAAUCAUUGGGCGUAAAGCGCGUGUAGGCGGUUCAGUAAGUCUGCUGUGAAAGUCCAGGGCUCAACCCUGGGAUGCCGGUGGAUACUGUCGGGCUCGAGUCCGGAAGAGGAGUGUGGAAUUCCUGGUGUAGCGGUGAAAUGCGCAGAUAUCAGGAGGAACACCGGUGGCGAAGGCGGGUCUCUGGGCCGAUACUGACGCUGAGGAGCGAAAGCGUGGGGAGCGAACAGG